AUGGCCCCCAACAGAGCUUCGGGACCAGACAAUAUUCCUGUGGAGUUCUAUCAAGCCUGUUGGGAUAUAGUGAAGGGGGAUAUCAUGUCUCUCUUUAAGCACUUCCAUGAUGGGACACUAGAUGUUCAACGUCUCAAUUAUGGGGUAAUCACUCUUCUGCCUAAGGUUUCGGGGGCCGAUAAAAUUCAGCAGUUUAGACCUAUAUGCCUCCUUACAUGUCCAUGGAUCGUAGGGUUGAGAAAUACGCUGACAAGUUAA
rnacentral:rRNA from 1 species